rnacentral:rRNA from 1 species
AGUGAACGCUGGCGGCGUGCUUAAUACAUGCAAGUCGAACGAUGAAGUCCUAGCUUGCUAGGAUGGAUUAGUGGCGCACGGGUGAGUAAUAUAUAGUUAAUCUGCCUUGCACUGAGGAACAACAGUUGGAAACGAUUGCUAAUACCUCAUACUCCAACUUUACAUAAGUUAAGUUGGGAAAGUCUUUUCGGUGCAAGAUGAGACUAUAUCGUAUCAGCUAGUUGGUAAGGUAAUGGCUUACCAAGGCUAUGACGCGUAACUGGUCUGAGAGGAUGAUCAGUCACAUUGGAACUGAGACACGGGUCAAACUCCUACGGGAGGCAGCAGUAAGGAAUAUUGUGCAAGGGGGGAAACCCUGACGCAGCAACGCGGCGUGGAGGAUGACACUUUUCGGAGCGUAAACUCCUUUUGUUAGGGAAGAAUAAUGACGGUACCUAACGAAUAAGCACCGGCUAACUCCGUG